GGCAGUCGGUCUGUACAUGCGUGAGGUGGCGAGGGGCGUGUCCAUGGGGCGGCUAGUAGCGUGUGCCACCAUGGAAAUAUGUACAGACAUAAAGAAGACGCCCUCAAGAAAGGCCUGAGUCCAGACCGAGACCCAGAGAAAUGUAAACAAACGCACCAGU